GACGAGGGACCCUAGCGUUGUUCGGAAUCAUUGGGCGUAAAGCGGGUGUAGGUGGUUUGAUUAGUCAGGUGUGAAAUCCCAGGGCUUAACCCUGGAAGUGCAUUUGAUACUGUCAAGCUUGAGUGUGGGAGAGGUUAGUAGAAUUCCAGGUGUAGUGGUGAAAUACGUAGAUAUCUGGAGGAAUACCGGAGGCGAAGGCGACUUCCUGGCCUGUUCUUGACGCUGAGGCGCGAAAGCUAGGGUAGCAAACGGG
rnacentral:rRNA from 1 species